UUCAAGCAAUUUUUGUACGCACUUUUUUCGCAAACAAAACAAAACGUUUAAUUACAUUUAGGUGCUUUGUAUGCACUGUUGGCUGAUGUAUGCAAGUCCUACGGUAAACGUGCAAAGCACCACGUACAGCUCAUAAAAUUCGGUUGUGCGACUGUGGAAGUGUGUUUUCAUAAAUUAUUGCCUUUAUCAGCAAAUUCCGUAGUUGUCUAUAACUAUUAGCUUGCAAACCUUAAAAUUUCUGUUACCUUGUUACCUGAAAAUAGUUUUUAUCAUGCCUUUUCGUACGAGCGCGUUCGGAGUUUCGGUAUUCGCAUGCAUUGGGAUGUUGUUUCUCGCUUGCAACGUGGAUCUUGGGCGUAAUUUGAUAUUUUUCUUGUGUGAUGCUUGAUUCGACAUAACAAAGAUAUUUGCUAAUUUUCAGGUGGAUGCGAUUUAAUGUUUCCCAACGUCUGUGAGAAUGUGACGUGCCCAAAGGGACAAAACUGCAGUGCCAUAACGGAUUACUGGUGUCCCAAUAAAACCGGCCAGAUCUGCUAUAUAUCCCAUAGCAGUUUGCGGCGACUUCAUAAAUCCAUGCAUUGUAAGGAUGCAGCGGGAUGUUGCUUGGCCAGGCUCAAAAUUAAUAUUAUCAGUUACCUCGUGAACAGGAUUCAGUAUUACCGAUGUCCAGCUAAAAUUUAUAUUAGCAUAAAACAAUUGAAUACUUUAUUAAAUGCACCAAACAAAAAUUCGGAUCGAUGUAUACGAUAUACCCGCAUGUGUACAAUACUUCUAUACGAGUGAGUAUACUGUAAUUAUUUUAAUUGCAGUUCAGUACAUGUCUCACUGGAACUGACUGCGCCGCUGUCGUUGAUACCUGCAGCAAUGGAAUCUGCACCGUAAAAGCCGGAUGCUUCAACAUUACUCGUCCUGGUGCAUGCCCGAAAUCGCCGGACGCCACUUCCUGCUCCAACUUCUGCGAGACAGACGGCUUAUGCGAGACCGGUGCAAAAUGCUGUCAGGUUCCUGAUCUGGGAAAAGUGUGCGUGCCGGCUGUGCAAAAUUACUGAUUUGUUUUAUUUCAUGCUGUUCCGAACAUCUGCUGUACAUUCAAGCAACAAAUACAUUUCCAGCAGUUUUAAUUAUUUUAUGGAUUAUACAUCACCGCUGCAGAGUAAUUGAUAUGUACCAGCGCCUGCUGUGCUAUUCUAAGAAAGGUCACCAAAUGAAGAGCCACUGGAAUCGGUCACUGGUGUUCCAGUUACACAGGUUGAUGUGCACUGAGCGAAUGUGUCGAAACGAUUUCGAUUUCCCAUGCAUCCACC